AGAGUUUGAUCCUGGCUCAGAUUGAACGCUGGCGGCAGGCUUAACACAUGCAAGUCGAGCGGGGAAGGGUAGCUUGCUACCUGACCUAGCGGCGGACGGGUGAGUAAUGCUUAGGAAUCUGCCUAUUAGUGGGGGACAACAUUCCGAAAGGAAUGCUAAUACCGCAUACGCCCUACGGGGGAAAGCAGGGGAUCUUCGGACCUUGCGCUAAUAGAUGAGCCUAAGUCAGAUUAGCUAGUUGGUGGGGUAAAGGCCUACCAAGGCGACGAUCUGUAGCGGGUCUGAGAGGAUGAUCCGCCACACUGGGACUGAGACACGGCCCAGACUCCUACGGGAGGCAGCAGUGGGGAAUAUUGGACAAUGGGCGAAAGCCUGAUCCAGCCAUGCCGCGUGUGUGAAGAAGGCCUUUUGGUUGUAAAGCACUUUAAGCGAGGAGGAGGCUACUUAGAUUAACACUCUAGGAUAGUGGACGUUACUCGCAGAAUAAGCACCGGCUAACUCUGUGCCAGCAGCCGCGGUAAUACAGAGGGUGCGAGCGUUAAUCGGAUUUACUGGGCGUAAAGCGUGCGUAGGCGGCUUCUUAAGUCGGAUGUGAAAUCCCUGAGCUUAACUUAGGAAUUGCAUUCGAUACUGGGAAGCUAGAGUAUGGGAGAGGAUGGUAGAAUUCCAGGUGUAGCGGUGAAAUGCGUAGAGAUCUGGAGGAAUACCGAUGGCGAAGGCAGCCAUCUGGCCUAAUACUGACGCUGAGGUACG
rnacentral:rRNA from 1 species